rnacentral:rRNA from 1 species
AGUUUGAUGGCGACCGGCGCACGGGUGAGUAACACGUAUCCAACCUGCCGAUGACUCGGGGAUAGCCUUUCGAAAGAAAGAUUAAUACCCGAUGGCAUAGUUCUUCCGCAUGGUGGAACUAUUAAAGAAUUUCGGUUAUCGAUGGGGAUGCGUUCCAUUAGGCAGUUGGUGGGGUAACGGCCCACCAAACCUUCGAUGGAUAGGGGUUCUGAGAGGAAGGUCCCCCACAUUGGAACUGAGACACGGUCCAAACUCCUACGGGAGGCAGCAUG